UACGUAGGGUGCGAGCGUUGUCCGGAAUUAUUGGGCGUAAAGCGUGCGCAGGCGGUUUUGUAAGCCAGAUGUGAAAUCCCCGGGCUUAACCUGGGAAUGGCAUUUGGGACUGCAAGGCUCGAGUGCGGCAGAGGAGACUGGAAUUCCUGGUGUAGCAGUGAAAUGCGUAGAUAUCGGGAGGAACACCGAUGGCGAAGGCAGGUCUCUGGGCUGACACUGACGCUCAUGCACGAAAGCGUGGGGAGCAAACAGG
rnacentral:rRNA from 1 species